UGGGGAAUAUUGGACAAUGGGCGCAAGCCUGAUCCAGCCAUGCCGCGUGAGUGAAGAAGGCCCUAGGGUUGUAAAGCUCUUUCACCGGUGAAGAUAAUGACGGUAACCGGAGAAGAAGCCCCGGCUAACUUCGUGCCAGCAGCCGCGGUAAUACGAAGGGGGCUAGCGUUGUUCGGAUUUACUGGGUGUAAAGCGCACGUAGGCGGACUUUUAAUUCAGGGGUGAAAUCCCGGGGCUCAACCCCGGAACUGCCUUUGAUACUGGAAGGAUUGAGUAUGGUAGAGGUGAGUGGAAUUCCGAGUGUAGGGGUGAAAUUCGUAGAUAUUCGGAGGAAAACCAGUGGAGGAGGCGGCUCACUGGACCUAUACUGACGCUGAGGUGCGAAAGCGUGGGGAGCAAACAGG
rnacentral:rRNA from 1 species